rnacentral:lncRNA from 1 species
UUUUUUAUUUUAAUUGUCCAAAUAUUUUAGGUUGGCUUCUUCUGGAAAAUACGAAUAUUGAUUUGGGAGCUGAUAAAAUACUUCUGAAAGUUAUGAUGGGAUGUACACUUGCCAGUGUGAAAAUCAACAUAAUGAACAUAUUCCAACAUCUUCAACUUGGAAAAAAAUAUAUUCAUUUUAAGAACUUUGGCACAUUAAAUAAUAUGGUUUUUGUCAUAUGAGAACAGCUUGAGGAGCUGUGUGGAACAUACCUCAGAACUGUCCACUCAUAGGAUAAGCAAAGGGAUCUCUUAUCUCCCAUUGUGUUAAAUCCUUCACACCUCCGAGAUUAUGUGUAAGUCAAAAUAUCUGAGCAUAUUCCCAUGGGCAAUACAGCAAAAAUUCCCUGAUGCAGAAAACAAGGAAACUUCACUGCCGUGGAGACAAGAUCCUGUCACAUCACACUUUUGCACAGCUGGUUGUCAUAGCAACAACAGGGCUAGAAGUGCAUUAUGAGGACAUGAGGUAGGGCACCAGAGAUGGCUAAACACCAUUUCAUGAUGAAUUUUGGAAAAAUAAUAUGGCAUAACCAUCAAUAGAUGUGGUUACCUGCAAAUAAAUAGCUAAGGUGAUACAGG